AUAAGACGACCGCGUCAGUAAAUAAUAGCAGUGUACAACUGAUAUUUGACGAACAACUUCGCCUUAAUUACGCUGAUGAAGAGACGAGAACGAACCGCUGUACCAUAGUAAAUGCCGUUUGUACUAAAGGCUACAUCCUUGGAGAUGGAGAUGGGAGCGGUCAGACAACAUUAACGAACUUCAAGUCUAGUAAGGAUUCCAUGAUCUGAAGACUUUGCCAGAAUGAUCACGUAAUCAAUGUUUGAUAUUUUGCUGAACAAAGUGGACUAAAGGACGAUGGAGACGGGAGGUGUGACGCACUAGAGGAAAACUAUGCAGUGAACAUCUCGUGUACUGAAGUUUAACCCCGACCAUGGCCAUCCCAAUUACGUUAGAGAAUCAGAUCAAGCUUCAGAAAAACUGGGAAACUAUGUGUGACGACCUAGUUGUCAGGGACGUUUCACCCAAGCUUAUAUCAAGAGGAAUUCUGACUCAAAAAGACCUGAAUGACGUCUUAAAGAAAAAAACACGCCUUGAACAAACUCAGAAACUCUUAAGUCUUUUGUUAACCAAGAACAACCAACACUUCGAGUACUUCCAAGAAUGUUUGAAUAAGGACUAUGGUUGGUUGGCAGAUAAAUUGUCUGUAACUGUUGUGACUAGAGAAGACAGAGAGGAGUUUACAGGUAAGUAGCAAAAGGCAUAUAUAUAUAUAUAUAUAUAUAUAUAUGUAAUGGCUGUGAUAGGAAUUUACUUCUUUUGUUCGUUGAAAAGUUAAAGGAAAGCUUAUACUAAGUUAUACAUGACAACGAUGGUAUGAAUUGAGUUAAUCAACUAUUGAAAGUUCAAAGCAGCGUUAUUCAAAGAAAAAAAAACGUGGUAAAUAUAAUUUUAAUUAUGGGAAACCUUGAACUUUUAAACUAAACUUAAGUGCCAGUUUUUUUAAGCAGCAGACAAGUGCGGCAAGGUGAGGGUUCACAGAAUUUGACCUUAUUGGGCUGAAAUACUUGCCUGGGGACCCUCUUAACUUCUGCCAAACGUUAGGCCCCAAAACCGUAUUCAAGGGAUUUAUGCCCAAUUUUCGAUUUUUCCAGUUUUCGAAGCAGAUUUUCAGUCAGCAGCCAUGCAACUCAUAUGUAUGCUUAUUUCCCCCUUAUCUAGCUAUGUAUUUACAAUAUUCCUAUAUGAUGUUUUUUGUCAAUCAAUAUUAUUCCUUCCAAGACAUUCAAACAACACCCACCUAGUCCACACUGUACCCACAUUUUGCACCCCACCCCCCAAAACCAUAUUUGAGCAUGGCGAUUUUCAAAGAGUCAUAUACCCACUGGUAGAAGUCCUAUGACUGUAAAACCUAUAUGUGUUUAUAAAGGAACAUUAGGGUGAUAAAAUCCAAAGAGAUCUUGGACUUUUAUUUUGUUGGCGAUAUAUUGAUGUCUGAAAACAUGGCCAGAAAUGCGCAGCAUUCACGCGAUACGCAAGGACGCUACAGUUGGGCUUCACGUGACUCAACUAGCCAAUCACAGCACAACAAUGGCAUCGCACACAGACUCUAUGAUAAGUGCUCGAGGAGCAGCCUAUUGACAAGUCAGUCUGUCCGGAGAUCUGGCAUAUCAAUGCGUAAGCGGUGAUUAUUACAAAAAAUCCUACGCGCUUGCACAAAAUAGUCCGCGACGUGUGUUUCGCGCCAUAUUUUGCAAAAUCCAUAUCUGUUAUGAAAAUCCAUGAAACUCUGUGAAUAGCCCAUUGUUCCGCUUGAAACUUUCAAAAAAUAAAAUUUAGAACUUGAUGUAAACGCACAAUGUAAAAUGAACAUUUCAUUUCCGUGGAAAAAUUUGUAUCAGCUGUCUAAAAAUAGCACACGCGUUUUUCCCAAGCUGACCUUGGAAUUUUUUACCCAAAAAUGAAAUGAUUGCAGAAAAAAUGGACAAACCUAAUUUUUUGAUAUUAUAAUGAUUUAUG
rnacentral:lncRNA from 1 species